UCCACACACCCAAUUUCAUGAGAUUCGAAGACAAACGAUCUACCUUGUUUAGCCAACAUCUUUUUGAAGCAAGUAAUUUCUUUCGACAAUAAAAAACCAUCAGAACCAAUCUUCAAUUCUUCAAAAGUCUCUUUAGUAAACUGGUGUCCAAUACUCAUUGGAUCUCUUAAACUUGCUUCUUUUAAUGCUUCUCUCAUUUGUUCUUUAGAAUCUUCUGGUAAUGGUCC
rnacentral:lncRNA from 1 species